rnacentral:SRP_RNA from 2 species
GCCGGGUGCGGUGGCUCACACCUGUAAUCCCAGCACUUUGGGAGGCUGAGGCGGGUGGAUCACCUGAGGUCAGGAGUUCUAGACCAGCCUGGCCAACAUGGUGAAACCCCAUCUCUA